UAAUACAGAGGGUGCGAGCGUUAAUCGGAUUUACUGGGCGUAAAGCGUGCGUAGGCGGCUUAUUAAGUCGGAUGUGAAAUCCCCGAGCUUAACUUGGGAAUUGCAUUCGAUACUGGUGAGCUAGAGUAUGGGAGAGGAUGGUAGAAUUCCAGGUGUAGCGGUGAAAUGCGUAGAGAUCUGGAGGAAUACCGAUGGCGAAGGCAGCCAUCUGGCCUAAUACUGACGCUGAGGUACGAAAGCAUGGGGAGCAAACAGGAUUAGAUACCCUGGUAGUCCAUGCCGUAAACGAUGUCUACUAGCCGUUGGGGCCUUUGAGGCUUUAGUGGCGCAGUUAACGCGAUAAGUAGACCGCCUGGGGAGUACGGUCGCAAGACUAAA
rnacentral:rRNA from 1 species